rnacentral:lncRNA from 1 species
CAAAAUCUUGAGAGUAUUGGAGGCGACAUAGAUUGGUUCUCAUCUCUUGUUAGCAAAAUGAGCUAGCAUUUGGGAAUAGUGAGAGGGGUUUGUGUGUUCUAAAUUUCAAUAUCUUAGGUUUGGGGAGUAAGAAAUAUGAGAAAGAUGAACGAAAGAGUGUCAAUAGAAAAGAAAACUCUAGGGACAAAAGAAAAGUAUGAAGCCCUAGAUUAUGUACAAAAGAAC